AUACGGGGAACCUCUUAGUACGGGGCAAGGGGAAUGCAUGCUAUUUCCAUUUCUUCACAUCCUACCCAACCCAGCUAUGUUGUCUCGUAGAUAGCAAGGUCAGUUGAUUAAAGAUCCACAACCUG